UUCACUAACUCCACGAGAAGAGCAAGUAGGAGAACUCCAUGCAUUUUCUGCCAUUAUUCAAGAAAAAUCCUCAUCAGCCAUCGUCCCCAUCAAAAGCAAGCAAACAACUCAAGAGGAAAACCAACAAGAACAGAUCAUUUCAAAAGGCUUCGAGCAUCAAGGGGAUUAGCACUGCUUUCCCAAGACAGGUUAUGUGAUUAUGAUCUUCAGGCUUUGCCUAUCCAGGUUGAGCAGUUGAUGGAAUGGAAUGAUGUUGAGCGGGUGUUCCUUUGACAUUUCAAGAAAUGUAACCUUGAGUAUACAUCUUCAUAUGUAUAUCUCACACGUUUUCCGCUGCAAAACACUUUGAUUAGGAUAACUUUAUGUUAUGAAAUUGUGACACGUGUUAUUGGGUAAACCACCUUAAUCAGUUCUCAUUUAUGUGUAUGUGUUAUAAGUAUCCAAAUAAUCAUAUAUGAUCCUAGCAUUUUAUCUA